rnacentral:lncRNA from 1 species
AACCCAAUUCUAGCUUUUCAGUGCGUGACAAGCUACCCUAAAAAAUUUAUAUAGCAACGAGGUGAGCAUAAAGAGCUCAGCAAGCGUCUAACAUAUCCAUGGCGAUAGGAGAAGUUCAAGCAGGCUUAGUAUCAAGAUACAAAAGUAGAAAUACAAGUGUUCAUUUGAAAUCAUCUCAUUUGAUAUAAAAUCACAAAGGUUUACCUCAUUCAAAAACAAGCAUUAGACAUAACAAUAGGAGAAGGGAAAUUGGAGCAUUUCAUUGGCAAAAG